rnacentral:lncRNA from 1 species
CUCAAGGUGGUUGGCUAUACCAUUCACAGUAAUGAGGAAUGUAAGAAAUCUCAGGUUGGUGUGAGAUUAUUCCUGUUUUGACCUUAUUAAACCCAGGCUUGUGUGGAAUGAUUGCUGCUUGGGCCUUACUAACUUAGGUUAAUUCAUUAUUAACCUUCAUUUCUCAAGAGAUUAAUAAUGAAAAAUCUAGAGCUCAAGACAGAUGUCAAGGCACAAGAAAAGAUAGAGAAGUCAGUCAGUGUUAAGACAAUGGAAUAAUAAGGUACUUAAGAUUGUUCAGGCAGAAUGUGUAACUUAAAGGCACAGAACAUAAUCUCAAAGAACUCCCAACAUUAAGGAAUAUACAAAGGAGACUAAGGAACAGAUAAGGGGAAAAAAAUCAGGAGUCAUUCACAGAAGCCACAUGCUAAAGAUGAAGUGGGAAGGAAAAUGCCUAUCAAAUGGAGCAAAAAGAUCAAUAUAAGGGUGAGUUCACUUGAUCUGACAGAAAAGAAUGGGAAUUGUUCAUUGAAUAUCUAUUUUUCUAUGCUUUGUGCUAAAUGCUUUUUAACUGUCACUUUCCUUAUUGCUCAAAACAAAAUCUGUCAAAUGGGUAUUGAAAUCCCUAUUUUACAGACAAGGAAAGGUAAAUGGCUUAGAAGAUUUAAGCAAUUGCAAGGUACAGCUUGUAAGUAUAGGAGCCGUAUCAGCCUACUCCUGAAACCCAUACUCUUUCUACUGAAUCUUUCAGACACAGGUGACAGUCAACAGAGUACAAACGAUGUAAUCUUGAGGUGAAAACCUGACCCUGACUGAAGCUGAAGAUGAUAAGAAAAUAUAAAGGACAUACUGUUUCACAAAAUUUGUUGUGAAAAGGAAAGACAACAUGCCCUGGGGUUAUUUUACACCACUGAUACAGCAAUUUGACAAAAAUUUAUAAAGCUAUUGUCUGCAAUUCUGUGCUUGAAACAAAGUGACAUAACAAGCUUGAAAGGGAUGUAAGGGGAGUUCAAUCUUUUUCCACAUUACCCUGGAUAGAAAAGCUUGUGAUAUACAAACAGACAAGCUCCUAUUAAUACCACUUAAAGUACAUAACAAGUUUAUCUUUUAAGAUUUUUUUAAAAACAUUAUAAAAUCACCAAAAGGUGAAGGGUAUAUUUGCUUCAAGGUGUUUCUGAUUUAAGAUAGUGGAUUGGCCCCAUGAGUUUGUCUCUCCUCCAUCCCACUAUAGUAAAAUGAAAGAAAUUUUUAAAAUAUGAGAAAAAUUAUUGAUAAGACUCAUCAUCUUAGAUGAAUCUCAGGGGCAUUAUGCUAAAGAAAAGAAGGCGUUUCAAAAGUUACAUAUGGCAUUUAUUCUAUUUAGAACUUUCUAGAAGAUAAAACUAUGGGGAUAGAAAACAAAUUGUGGAUUAUGAGUGGGGGGAAGGGAGAAUGACUACAAAGGGAUAGUAUAAGGAGUUAUUUGGGGAGUGAUGGUACUUUUCUUUAUCUCUGGUGUUAAAACUCACAAAACUAUGCUACCAGAACAGAAGUAAAAUUUACCAUAUGAUAAUCUGAAAAACAAUUUUAAAAAAGAUAUGAGCCCAAAAUUUGAAUAGAGAGGAGGCAGCAACAGACAAAUGAUUUCAACAAAUUUGUGGAAAACUGAAAGCAGAUGGAAUAUGACUGAGCUGAACAGAGAAAGCUGCAAUCUAGAGGGACUACAAGGCGGAUACCAGAGGGAAGCAUGCUGAUUGAUUCCACAACCCCUGAGAAGCUCAGAUUUGGAGGUAGAACACCAGAGAAUUUUUAUCUGGAGAAAUAAAUGGGAGACAAUUAAGUGGAAGAAAUAUGGGGAGGGACAGAUACAAGGAAGUAUGUGUGAAGUGGAAAUCAGGAGGUGAGAUGGAGGACAAGGAAGAAGCACAGUUAAAAGCAGUAAGUAAGAGAACCUCCCUAGACCCCUUGAAGCACUGCCCACAAACACAGAGCUUUCAAAUAGUGUUUUGGAGUCUACUCAUAUAUUGCCAAGACUAGCCAGAAAUAACAGGAAAUUCGCCUAUAUGAACAAGAGAAAAAACAAAUUACAAAUAGCAACAAAUAAACUUUGGUGUUAAUAGAGCAGUAAACAAAAGUAGUAAUAUAUAUUCAUAUAUAUAUAUCCUCAGAAAAAUAAGAUAUCUAUAAACUAAGUAGGAUAUUUUGGAAACAAAAUAAAAUGAAAGAAGUUCUAGAAAUUAGAAUAUUUUUAGAAAUGUGCUACAAAUUCAAUACAAGGAAGAUAAUGUUGCAAGAAAGUUAUGUAAAUGUUUUAAAUAAGGCAAUUAUUAAUUCCAGGAAAAAUAAAAUUAUGCAAAAGAAAAUCAUAUUACAUUUGCCCUAGGGUAUAAAAUAUUUAUACAGUCAUACUUAAAUAACAGCUAAUGCAUUUACUAAAUAUUAUGAUAUAACUACAUAAUAGAAGGCAAAGUAUGUGUGUUAGAGAGCUAAAUCAUGUAACAUCAUGUAACAAUAAUGUCUAAAAUUGUUAUAUCAAGCAACAGAAUAGCCAUACUAUUUAGAUACACUAAGGUAAAAGAAGAAACAACUUUUGGAGUCACAGUGAUUGCCUCUGGGAGGGAAGGAAAGUUCAGGCAGGGACUACUAUUUUUUAUCAUAAAGCCUUUAGAACUUACUAUUUUAUUUUUUAAAACUGUGUACAUGUUACUUUGAUAAAUUUUAUAGAUAUACAAAAGGAAAUAAGGCCACCACGGUCUGAUUUGUUUUUAGACAAGAUAUUUAUUUUGAAGUUCCAAAUGACAUUAGCAGAAUUGUGAUUUUUAUGUUUACUGAAUGGUGCAUGGGAUAAAAAGGGGUUCUAAAACACUUUACUAGAUCAUCCAAACCCUACAAUAGACACUUAUGCAUCAAAAUUCUUGUAAAAGGACCACUUC